rnacentral:rRNA from 1 species
ACGGGGGGGACAAGCGUUGUUCGGAUUCACUGGGCGUAAAGGGCGCGUAGGCGGGCCUUCAAGUCAGGUGUGAAAACUGGCAGCUCAACUGCCAGCUUGCACUUGAUACUGUCAGUCUUGAGUACAGGUGGGGUAAGUGGAAUUCCACAUGUAGCGGUGAAAUGCGUAGAUAUGUCGAAGAACACCAAAAGCGAAGGCAGGUUACAGACCUGAUACUGACGCUGAAGCGCGAAGGCGAGGGUAUCAAACAG